rnacentral:rRNA from 1 species
UUGAGCGCUGGCGGCAGGCCUCACACAUGCAAGUCGAACGGUAACAGAAAGCAGCUUGCUGCUUUGCUGACGAGUGGCGGACGGGUGAGUAAUGUCUGGGAAACUGCCUGAUGGAGGGGGAUAACUACUGGAAACGGUAGCUAAUACCGCAUAACGUCGCAAGACCAAAGAGGGGGACCUUCGGGCCUCUUGCCAUCGGAUGUGCCCAGAUGGGAUUAGCUAGUAGGUGGGGUAACGGCUCACCUAGGCGACGAUCCCUAGCUGGUCUGAGAGGAUGACCAGCCACACUGGAACUGAGACACGGUCCAGACUCCUACGGGAGGCAGCAGUGGGGAAUAUUGCACAAUGGGCGCAAGCCUGAUGCAGCCAUGCCGCGUGUAUGAAGAAGGCCUUCGGGUUGUAAAGUACUUUCAGCGGGGAGGAAGGGAGUAAAGUUAAUACCUUUGCUCAUUGACGUUACCCGCAGAAGAAGCACCGGCUAACUCCGUG